AAAAUUUUUACUUUGGUUUCCCUCCCCAUAUCCAAAACUUUGGGGCGGUGGAACUGGUUCCAGAACGUGGAAGGCAUCUUCAUAAAAAAUCGAAGGAAUCGUUGUAAUUUUCACAUGUAGUUCGCUUUGAGAGUCGCAAUUGAAUGAUUGCGUCAAUCUUUACUCUUCUCGUGGGUGGAACAUUAUUGUUGUUUCCAAUUUUCUCAAUCUUAUGUCAUCAGGUGCAAGUUAAAACUACUGGUUACCAUCUGGAUGUUAUAAUAUAACAGUAUAUACCUUGAGUAAUAUGUGAUAUUGGUAAAGCUCCCCAAAAUGUGUGAAGAAUGCAAGUCUGGGGUUGGACAUAAUGUUUACAUAAUUCUAAUCUUUUUUAUCUAGUUUAUUAAUCUAGGGUGUUUCUGUAAAAUCAAACCUUAACCAAUUACAAUCUUUUGCAAAGAAUACUACUAAUCUGAUUAAUACAAAAUGAAAUUACCUUUUUGCUAUGAAAGUAUUAAAAGAUCUAGUUUGGGACCUAAUAUUCCGCGUUAUUUCGAUUAAAAUUUUGACAAGAAAAAUCGGGAUGCUACAUGAGCCAAGCCCAAGCUUGAGCUCGUUUAACUUAUGAGAGCUUGAGUUCGAGCUCGGCUUGGUUCGAGCUUUGUUUCUAAGGCUCAAGCGUGUAUCCCUGUAUGUAUACAAGUGCAUGUACUUAAUGUAAAUUCAUGAGAAAUCUAUCUAAACGCAUGUUGUUAGGUCAUGGCCACAUCCAACUUGGAAAUUGCAGGUAUGUCUAUCCGUUGUAAUUAUUAAUAUGUAUUUAGUUAGGAAUUUGGUAUACUUUUUAAUAGAACACAUAUUAAUAUAUGAAAAGGAUGCACACAAUUGUUUAUGUUAUUGAAUUUCAUGAUUUAAUUUAUUUGUUGUAAGUUGUAACUAUAUAUUUAAGUACUAGAUUUGUUUACAAUUUUUUACCUAUCUAAUUAUGUUUUGUUUUAGAUUUGGAGUUUUACAAGACAUAAGUUGAAAGUUGGUUGCACCAUGGUUAAAUGGUUUAUAACUAUUCUAAUGUUACAGGUCAAAAUGAGUCCUUGCCCAAAUAGGUAGGUUUUAGUACAGAUUCACAUGCAAUUGAGUGGUUCGUUAAGUGCUGAAAAUACGGGUCAUAACUUUGAUACUGGACAAAAUAUGAGAAGGAGAUCCUACUUAGCGGGUCAAGUAAAUUUCUAACUGAAGAUCUCGUCUUUGGAAGAAAGAACAAACAAUUCUUAUGUAUUGAGGUUGGGAAAGGAGUAGAGGAAUACUCGGCUGCGGAUAUGGAUGGCAUUUGCGAAGAUUGGUCAACUAUGUAUUGACAAACAAUUCUUUUUUUUUGUUAACAUUAAAAUAUUUGUAGUAUACUUGACAAAUGAUUAUGUAAUGGAUUGUUUUGGUGUGUGUGUAUA